rnacentral:rRNA from 1 species
GGAGGGAUCAUUACCGAGUUUACAACUCCCAAACCCAAUGUGAACGUUACCAAUCUGUUGCCUCGGCGGGAUUCUCUGCCCCGGGCGCGUCGCAGCCCCGGAUCCCAUGGCGCCCGCCGGAGGACCAACUCAAACUCUUUUUUCUCUCCGUCGCGGCCUACGUCGCGGCUCUGUUUUAUUUUUGCUCUGAGCCUUUCUCGGCGACCCUAGCGGGCGUCUCGAAAAUGAAUCAAAACUUUCAACAACGGAUCUCUUGGUUCUGGCAUCGAUGAAGAACGCAGCGAAAUGCGAUAAGUAAUGUGAAUUGCAGAAUUCAGUGAAUCAUCGAAUCUUUGAACGCACAUUGCGCCCGCCAGUAUUCUGGCGGGCAUGCCUGUCCGAGCGUCAUUUCAACCCUCGAACCCCUCCGGGGGGUCGGCGUUGGGGAUCGGCCCCUCACCGGGCCGCCCCCGAAAUACAGUGGCGGUCUCGCCGCAGCCUCUCCUGCGCAGUAGUUUGCACACUCGCACCGGGAGCGCGGCGCGGCCACAGCCGUAAAACACCCCAAACUCUGAAAUGUUGACCUCGGAUCAGGUAGGAAUACCCGCUGAACUUAAGCAUAU